UACGUAGGGGGCUAGCGUUAUCCGGAAUUACCGGGCGUAAAGGGUGCGUAGGUGGUUUCUUAAGUCAGAGGUGAAAGGCUACGGCUCAACCGUAGUAAGCCUUUGAAACUGGGGAACUUGAGUGCAGGAGAGGAGAGUGGAAUUCCUAGUGUAGCGGUGAAAUGCGUAGAUAUUAGGAGGAACACCAGUUGCGAAGGCGGCUCUCUGGACUGUAACUGACACUGAGGCACGAAAGCGUGGGGAGCAAACAGG
rnacentral:rRNA from 1 species